GUCAUGCCACAGCAUCUCAAUCGGGUUGAGAUCAGGACUCUGACCGGGCCACUUCAGAAGGCGUAUUUUCUUCUGUUUAAGCCAUUCUGUUGUUGAUUUACUUCUAUGCUGUGGGUCAUUGUCCUGUUGCAACACCCAUCUUCUGUUGAGCUUCAGCUGGUAGACAGAUGGUCUUAAGCUGCAAAAUGUCUUGAUAAACUUGGGAAUUCAUUUUUCC